AUUUUGAAAUAGUAGAUUCAGCCUGCAAGGACCCCAAGAUACACUAUUUUAUUUUAUUGGAAAAUGCCCAUAUAAACUUAUUGCUAGUUGCCACAAACAUAGAACACGAUAAAUAUAUACAUCAUGCUUGUCUCAUUUAAACAUGUUGAUGCAAUAUUGGAAGAAGAUUCAACCUAGAUAUUAUAUUUCAUUAUAGAACUAGGAAGUUUAGAUCUUUAGGAAUAUUUAUAGAGUUCUA
rnacentral:misc_RNA from 1 species